CCUACGGGAGGCAGCAGUAGGGAAUCUUCCACAAUGGACGCAAGUCUGAUGGAGCAACGCCGCGUGAGUGAAGAAGGCUUUCGGGUCGUAAAACUCUGUUGUUGGAGAAGAAUGGUCGGCAGAGUAACUGUUGUCGGCGUGACGGUAUCCAACCAGAAAGCCACGGCUAACUACGUG
rnacentral:rRNA from 1 species